GGAAACCCAUGUAUAGGCCUAACUCUUCACGGUCUUAGCGUGGCGCUUGUGGGUAAGGUAGCCUAAAUAUGAGAAAAGUGGACAGAACAUUUCGUGGGAAGAAGACAUCUAAGUGGUGCUAAAUGAGUGUCAAAUCAAAGCUCCCAAGACGCUGUGGUGAAAGCAACGGACUUAGGUGAAAGGCAGCAUGGCCGGUUCUCUAGGUCUAGGAGACAUUGAACGGGCGGUCAUUGCAGGUGUGGGUCCAGUCCACAACAUCAAUGCUAAGUUAAGUUGUUUCAAUUUUAGUUCUUUGUGCAUACUGGAGGGGGUUAGCCACUGUUAGCUAACCCAGCCAGUAAGCUGUGUGACGGAUGCUAGCUAAAGUUUUGCUUGUGCUUUGCUUUCACCACAGCGUCUUGGUGUUGGUACUAUGUGCCAGACGUGCAACAAAAACCCCACCAAGAGGUCACACGUUUGAGUCCUGCAGGACUAUUUGAAAGGAACAGGUGUUGAGGUCAGUGCUGUCAGGGCAGCUCUGAAGGGAGCCAUCUACGCAGAUACCCACAAGCAAGCAGUGUCCACCAGACACAUUGUGUUUGACCUCCCCAGCGACACGAAGCACGCCGGGGGCAGCUGCAAAGGCUCUCCGCCAGGAGUUGCAGGCAAUCACCAUGCCACUGACUCCUGACCUGGUGUGUUUUAUGGCACCAAGCAAUAGUCUCACUUGGAGUCGCACCAUUGAAGAGGCCAGGAAGGAUUUUGAGGACCUUGUCAGAAGUGCAAUACACCGCUGGACAAGGGUUUUUGUAUUGGACUUCCAAUCCCGGCUUACGGAAGAUGCUGACUAUCAGGCACUCAUGCAUGCAGAGUUCCAUAGAGUGGCCACACGCCUUGGUGUGAGCACCUGAACCCCCCAACACCACCUCCAGCCAUUGUAUCAAGGCUUGUGGUCAGAUGGCCACUUUCUGCCUCCAAGGCCCGCAACCCGGUGCUAUGGUCAGGGCUGUGUGUGGUGUGAAAAAGAUGACGGCGCAGACACAAUUUGAGGAGGUCUACAGGAUAUGCUCUGCCAUCCCAAAGCAUUAACUGGGCAGAGAGAAGAAUCCACUUGGGCAAGCCAGGAGAAAGAGAAGGAAAGGCGUAAGACCAGACAGUCAGGCCUGGUAGGAAGGCAAGAGGUACUAUAAAAAAAGCUGCAUUGUUUCUGAGAGACCAGGUCGAUCUGUCUGUUCUAUCUAUAUCAGUUCCACUAUGUACUGCCACUGUAUUUGCCCACCUGCUGCCUACACUUUUGUUAUCAGCCAAAGUGUACCCAAGCAAUUUUAGCCAGAUGGGAACAUCCAAAAUGACAUGCACCAGUUGUGAAGGAACAGCUGGAUGAGGGAAGUAAGGUCUAAUGGCUUUUAUGUCAAGUUCCACCUAGAACUUGAAGCAUGUCCAAAUCAUAGAACCAACUGCAUGACCGUAACCUCUGUCUCACUGAGGCCGUGAAGACACUCACUGAUUAUAUUGCUUCCUUACCAGACUUGACAGGCUGGUAAGGAAGGCUGGCUCUGUAGUGGGAGCUGAACUGGAGUGCAUCUCUUCAAUAUCUGACAAAAGGACCCUAAACAAACUGAUCAACA